AUUGAACGCUGGCGGCAUGCCUUACACAUGCAAGUCGAACGGUAACAGGUCUUCGGAUGCUGACGAGUGGCGAACGGGUGAGUAAUACAUCGGAACGUGCCUAGUAGUGGGGGAUAACUACUCGAAAGAGUGGCUAAUACCGCAUGAGAUCUACGGAGGAAAGCAGGGGGUCGCAAGACCUUGCGCAACUAGAGCGGCCGAUGGCAGAUUAGGUAGUUGGUGGGAUAAAAGCUUACCAAGCCGACGAUCUGUAGCUGGUCUGAGAGGACGAUCAGCCACACUGGGACUGAGACACGGCCCAGACUCCUACGGGAGGCAGCAGUGGGGAAUUUUGGACAAUGGGCGAAAGCCUGAUCCAGCAAUGCCGCGUGCAGGAUGAAGGCCUUCGGGUUGUAAACUGCUUUUGUACGGAACGAAAAGCCCUGGGUUAAUACCCUGGGGUCAUGACGGUACCGUAAGAAUAAGCACCGGCUAACUACGUGCCAGCCGCCGCGGUAA
rnacentral:rRNA from 1 species